AGUUGUUUAACUAUGGCAAUAGGAAGUGUAUGAUAACUUAAUUGCAUAAAUUUGUUAUUUCUUGGUGGUUUAUGUGCUCUUUUCGAAUUAUUAGCAGUUAGUAUUUUAUUAGAAUGAAAGUUUUUUAAGAUGUUAUCAUGAAAAGGGGAUUGGACACAGUGCCAGCAUCCGCGGUUAA
rnacentral:rRNA from 1 species